rnacentral:misc_RNA from 1 species
UCCGGUUUGUCACCGGCAGUCUCAUUAGAGUGCCCAACUGAAUGUAGCAACUAAUGACAAGGGUUGCGCUCGUUGCGGGACUUAACCCAACAUCUCACGACACGAGCUGACGACAGCCAUGCAGCACCUGUGUUCCGAUUCCCUUUCGGGCACGCCCGGCUUUCACCAGGCUCCAGGACAUGUCAAGGGUAGGUAAGGUUUUUCGCGUUGCAUCGAAUUAAUCCACAUAAUCCACCGCUUAUGCGGGUCCCCGUCAAUUCCUUUGAGUUUUAACCUUGCGGCCGUACUCCCCAGGCGGUCGACUUCACGCGUUAGCUGCGACACUGAGUUUGACCCCAACGUCUAGUAUUCAUCGUUUAAGGCGUGGACUAC